rnacentral:lncRNA from 1 species
AUGUACAGUAGGUGUGUAACAGGAAGUGUGUAUUACCUGGAACUUUGUCAACGGAGGCGAACACAGAUCUCUGUGCGGUGGGGUCGUUGGGCGCUCGACGCGAUUGGUCGUAGAAGCGGAAAGGGAGUUGACCGCCGGCAGCAGUGUUUCCUGUCUGGCCGAAGCCCAGAACCUCUGACGAACUGGGCUGGACAGGAAGGUCUAGUAACGCUGGAACACACAGAGAUGUUAGAGAGGGAGGUGUCCUCUGAGUGGCUUUCUCUCUCUGUCUCUCUCCGGGUGUGUAGAGAGGGAGGUGUGUCCUCUGAGUGGCUUUCUCUCCCUGUCUCUCUCUCCUGGUGUGUCUCCCUGUCAAAUCUCUCUCUCUACGGGUGUGUCUCCCUGUCAAAUCUCUCUCUCUACGGGUAUGUCUCAAUCUUUCUCUCUCCCCGUCCACCUCGCUCUCUCUCCCAGUCACUCUCUCUCCCCCCCAGGCACUCUCUCUCUCUCCCCAGGCAAUCUCUCUCUCUCCCCAGGCAAUCUCUCUCUCUCCCCAGGCACUCUCUCUCUUUCCCCAGGCACUCUCUCUCUCUCCCCAGGCACUCUCUCUCUCUCCCCAGGCACUCUCUCUCUCUCCCCAGGCACUCUCUCUCUCUCCCCAGGCACUCGCUCUCUCUCCCCAGUCACUCACUCUCUCUCUCCCUGUCACUCUCUCUCUCCCUGUCACUCUCUCUCUCCCUGUCACUCUCUCUCUCCCUGUCACUCUCUCUCUCCCUGUCACUCUCUCUAUCCCUGUCACUCUCUCUAUCCUCUGUCUCUCUCUCUACCUGCUAUCCUCUGUCUCUCUCUCUACCUGCUAUCCUCUGUCUCUCCCUCUACCUGCUAUCCUCUAUCUCUCCCUCUACCUGCUAUCCUCUAUCUCUCCCUCUACCUGCUAUCCUCUGUCUGUCUCUACCUGCUAUCCUCUGUCUCUCUCUCUACCUGCUAUCCUCUGUCUCUCUCUCUACCUGCUAUCCUCUGUCUCUCUCUCUACCUGCUAUCCUCUGUCUCUCUCUCUACCUGCUAUCCUCUGUCUCUCCCUCUACCUGCUAUCCUCUAUCUCUCCCUCUACCUGCUAUCCUCUAUCUCUCCCUCUACCUGCUAUCCUCUGUCUGUCUCUACCUGCUAUCCUCUGUCUCUCUCUCUACCUGCUAUCCUCUGUCUCUCUCUCUACCUGCUAUCCUCUGUCUCUCUCUCUACCUGCUAUCCUCUGUCUCUCUCUCUCUCUAG